AUAAAAAUGAGAAUGGAAAUGGGGAUUGUGCCAAAGAGACAACAACCCGACCAUUGAAAAAAACAACAACAGCAGAAGGUCACCAACAGGUCUUCAAUGUAGCGAGAAAUUCCCGCACCCGGAGGCGUCCUUCAGCUGGCCCCAUAACAAAUAUAUACUAUUGCAGUGAUAAUGAACGCCAUACUAAUUUCCAAAUUGUACACAAGAAAC
rnacentral:lncRNA from 1 species